CCUACGGGGGGCAGCAGUGGGGAAUAUUGCGCAAUGGGCGAAAGCCUGACGCAGCGACGCCGCGUGAGGGAUGAAGGUCUUCGGAUCGUAAACCUCUGUCAGCAAGGAAGAACGGUCACUGUGCUAAUCAGCAGUGAAUUGACGGUACCUGCAAAGGAAGCACCGGCUAACUCCGUGCCAGCAGCCGCGGUAAUACGUAGGUGGCGAGCGUUAUCCGGAAUGAUUGGGCGUAAAGGGUGCGCAGGCGGUCCUGCAAGUCUGGAGUGAAACGCAUGAGCUCAACUCAUGCAUGGCUUUGGAAAUGGGAGGACUGGAGAGCAGGAGAGGGCGGUGGAACUCCAUGUGUAGCGGUAAAAGGCGUAGAUACAUGGAAGAACACCAGUGGCGAAGGCGGCCGCCUGGCCUGUUGCUGACGCUGAGGCACGAAAGCGUGGGGAGGAAAUAGGAUUAGAUACCCCAGUAGU
rnacentral:rRNA from 1 species